UACGUAGGGCGCAAGCGUUAUCCGGAAUUAUUGGGCGUAAAGAGCUCGUAGGCGGUGUGUCACGUCGGCCGUGAAAACCUGCAGCUUAACUGUGGGCGUGCGGUCGAUACGGGCAUGACUGGAGUUCGGCAGGGGAGACUGGAAUUCCUGGUGUAGCGGUGAAAUGCGCAGAUAUCAGGAGGAACACCAAUAGCGAAGGCAGCUCGCUGGGACGUUACUGACACUGAGGCGCGAAAGCGUGGGGAGCGAACAGG
rnacentral:rRNA from 1 species